rnacentral:rRNA from 1 species
CAGCAGUGGGGGAAUAUUGCACAAUGGGCGCAAGCCUGAUGCAGCCAUGCCGCGUGUGUGAAGAAGGCCUUCGGGUUGUAAAGCACUUUCAGUCGUGAGGAAGGUAGUGUAGUUAAUAGCUGCAUUAUUUGACGUUAGCGACAGAAGAAAGCACCGGCUAACUCCGUGCCAGCAGCCGCGGUAAUACGGAGGGUGCGAGCGUUAAUCGGAAUUACUGGGCGUAAAGCGCAUGCAGGUGGUUUGUUAAGUCAGAUGUGAAAGCCCGGGGCUCAACCUCGGAAUUGCAUUUGAAACUAGGCAGACUAGAGUACUGUAGAGGGGGGUAGGAAUUUCAGGUGUAGCGGUGAAAUGCGUAGAGAUCUGAAGGAAUACCGGUGGCGAAGGCGGCCCCCUCGGACAGAUACUGACACUCAGAUGCGAAAGCGUGGGGAGCAAACAGGAUUAGAUACCCUGGUAG